CCUCCCCGUAAUUUCGUCACCCUACCUCACUCUCGAGUCUCAACUCUCAGGUCGCAUCGGAACUCAGAAACAUUCAGACCCAAGCGAGUUGGACGAAGUAAAUAUCCUCCCUCAGUGCCUCCGUCCCUCUCUCUCGAUCGAAAAUGGAUAAUGUCAAGGCCAAGAUCCAUGGCAAGGAAGGCAUCUCGCCCGGACCAGCUGCUCUUGAUCUUCUCCCGAAAACAGCGGGGGACAGGCAUUCUCACCGGAAAACGACGAGAGGGAUUCGACACUUACUAGGGUCUCCGCCUUCGCGUUGGCGACAAGAAGGGAAAGAAGACUCACACCAAGCCCAGUCUACAAAAUUGAUGACUUCAGUGAGUUCGUAAGGCCGAGGAGGGAAUGCCGGAACGCCGAAUGCGGUAGCGGAACCCUCGUGCCCAAUCAUCUUGAGACAUGGUACUAGGAGGUCUUAGACGCGUGAGGUGUAGGCCCUUCGAUUCUACUAUAGAGGCCGAUGAUGUGGCAGUGAUAUAGCCACAGGCAAUACCUCCUGAGGGGUCACCAUCGGGUAGGGACUCAGGGUGAUUUGCCUACCCACCAUAAGUGGCAUUAACCUCAGCACAAACGAGGUUAGGACAUGGUUCAGCAAAAGAAACCAUGCUUCAGAAGCAUCUGCAGAUAACAAAAACAGCGUAUUUAGAUUGAGAUCCUAGUUGGCUUAUGGCACUAAUGGAUGAUUGGUGUCAAGCGUUGGUGCAUGAGGUAUAUGUCGAUAAUUUUCUCCAGUUACAUGCUACACCUGGCCACAAGUGAUUGAGGAGUAGAGAUUUGUUCUGUACAAGCGUAUAUUGCGUGAUCCAGUUGUUGGACAACCGGAGAGCAAGUAUAGUUUGUAUCAGAUAACACAUUAGAGGAAGUCAGGUGAGUGUAUUUUGGUUUGGUCUAACGAAAAGGUUUGCCAUCUCUUGGAGUGGAAAGGAUACCUUUGGCAGUUAAUGCCACGCCGUCAAUGGGUGGAGGAAGUUGAACAUCCUGUUGACACUCCUCUUGAAGGACCAAGUCGUAGAUGCGAUUGAUUGUGGGAAGGGGAUCGAUCAAAAAUAUCUGAGCACGGGUGGCACCAUAGGAUUCAUUAAGGCCCAUGAGGAACUUCAUGGUUUGCUGGUAUUGUUAGUAUUGAACUGUAUCUCCUUCGAACAGAUGAGAUUGAAGUGAUGCAAGUUCAUCCCACAAAAAACUUUAGCUUAGUAAAGUAAGUGGCCAUCGAUGUAUUGUCUUGGACAAGGUUGUGAAUUUCUUGUUCAAGGUAAUACAUUCGAGGGUCAUUGACCUGUGAGAAACGGUCCUUCAAAUUGACCCAAAUAUCUCGAAUAAUGUUGGAAUUGGUGUAUUCCCAAGAGGGGGGUGAAUUGGGUAAUUAAAAUUUCCUGCGUUGAUUUCAAUUUCA